rnacentral:lncRNA from 1 species
UAAGCCAUAAAGCAGUCUAUUCACAAAUGCAUACAUAACUGAUACAUUCACAGCAUCAUGCAUACCAUCACACAUCAUCAACACAUUUUAUCACAAAAGCAUAUCAUAUCAUGCCGCAUAAUCAAACACCAGUUAGCACACUCUACUAAUACCUAUACUACUCAAACAACGGGAAAUGAUCCCUACUACGUCAUACAUCAGCUAAGUUACACCACUCAGCCUAAACAACCAAAAACUGCACAACCACAGUGCAGAAAACCAC